rnacentral:rRNA from 1 species
CCUACGGGAGACAGCAGUGAGGAAUAUUGGUCAAUGGACGAAAGUCUGAACCAGCCAAGUAGCGUGAAGGAUGACUGCCCUAUGGGUUGUAAACUUCUUUUAUAUGGGAAUAAAAUGUUCCACGUGUGGGAUUUUGUAUGUACCAUAUGAAUAAGGAUCGGCUAACUCCGUGCCAGCAGCCGCGGUAAUACGGAGGAUCCGAGCGUUAUCCGGAUUUAUUGGGUUUAAAGGGAGCGUAGGUGGAUUGUUAAGUCAGUUGUGAAAGUUUGCGGCUCAACCGUGAAAUUGCAGUUGAAACUGGCAGGCUUGAGUAUAGUAGAGGUGGGCGGAAUUCGUGGUGUAGCGGUGAAAUGCUUAGAGAUCACGAAGAACACCGAUUGCGAAGGCAGCUCACUGGACUGCAACUGACAUUGAGGCUCGAAAGUGUGGGUAUCAAACAGGAUUAGAUACCCGAGUAGUC